rnacentral:lncRNA from 1 species
UUUCAAUUUAGAUACAUAAUUUGUGGCUCAGCUAUGUUAAGCAUGAGCUGAAUAUUGCUAUUAUGAAAAUACUGUAAAUAAAACUUAUGUUGCCCGCAUCGUUACAUACCUCUUUCUCUUCUUACUAUAACUAAUUAAUUAAUUAAAUUUUGAUUAGUUAGUUAAUUUUGGUUAAUUAAUUUUAAUUAAUCUAAUUAUUUGACUCAAGCGAAUAAUUUUAAUAAUUAAUUUUAAUUAAUUUAAUUAGUCAAUUCAACCAAAUUCUAAUAAAUUUUUUUUUUAGAAGAAAACCGAUUUCUCCAUUAUCACAAUUUCA